UGCCAGUAGAGAAAAACAAGAAACAAAAGCAUAGCAUUUACAUAACAGCUUUCCUUGUCUCUCCUCUGUGUUUGUCCAGACUGAGGCAUUUCAGUGCUUCCUUGUCCGAAGCAGGGCCUGCGAGACUACUGCACCUCUCCAUGGUGACUCGGCAGCAGUGGGAUCUGCUUGUUUUAAAUGAAUCAUGAGGAUGGAGGCAGCCAGCCACAGCCCAGCUUGUAUCAAAUGAUCCUGCAGCAAGCCCACGUCACGUAGCCUACUGCUGAAAAGAGGUUCCCACGCGUCCUGGAAAACCUGGAAAUUCUGGAAAAUUAAUGACCAAUGUUCCAGUCCUGGAAAACACAUGGAAAAUGAAAGAAAACAUAAACUGUCCUGGAAAAAAUCUUGUUGUCCUGGAAAAUUAUUAUUUUUAAAUGUUCUUGAUCAUUUAAAGAUCAUCUUGAUCAUUUAAAAAUUAGUAACAGAAAGCGCUCUCUUCAGGGACGCUGGGUUUUGACGGGUUUUUUGUUAUGCUGUUUAAUCUCGCUGUGACGGAUGACGCUGUCUUGUGUUGGCGGUUUCCGGUGCUAGGAAUGGUUUAAGUGCUCGAAUGUUUUCAGCAAAUGGUGACGGGUAAGCAGGUUAUAUUAACCUUGUUAAUCUGAAUAUCAUGUGCAAGGGGAAUGCACAGCAAACUAAAGCAUGCAUGACGGCAUUGGCCUGAGAAAGGAAAGGGUAUUAAUAUAUGCGGUCUUUUUAUUUUAUAAAUGUUGAAAUUUCAUUCA